GAGAGCUUCUGGCUAAGCAGGAGGAGUUUUGAGGGGAGCGGUGCUCGGAGAGGGCAUGGAUGGUCUGCAUCUUUUCCCCCUACUUGCCCUAUGUGUCUCUUCUAUCCAGCUGUUCCUGAGUUACAUAAUAAGUCAAAAUCUGAAUAUUCAUCCAGUACAAAGAGCUGCAACAACAGGCAGGUCAAGUAAAAGCAGAAACUUUCUUAGGAACUAGAAGCAUGAAGGGCUGCGUGGGAGAUACAAGCAAACUCAGGAGCUAUCAAACAUCCUCUCUAUCAGGCGCUGGAAGGCCAUUCCUGUGGGGAUGAAGAAUCAAAAGCACUCUACAUACCUAACACAACUAACAUGCCUUGAGGAAACAGGUGCUCAAUAAACCUUCAUGGCUUUUCCUUAUUUUUAGUUUUAUGCCAGAUACUACUCUAUGCCCGAUACUGUCCCUAAGGGUUUUGUAUGCAUUACCUCAUUUGAUCAACCAACAAAGGCUCAGAGAUUAAGUCCUUUUAAACUUGGGACACAACAGGUUAAGGAGUGUGGGGAGGUGAGAACUCAAAUACAUGUCAGUCCCACCGCAGGGCUACUGUUACUCCCGCCUCCCCCUCCCCCCCCCCCCCCCAGCAGAGCAUCCAGCAAUACGGACAGUCCCCUAUUCUGGGCACACAGGACAAUGGCCGCCCUGGCCGCCACUAGCAUUUCCGGAAGAUGGCGGCUGCUCCCGGCUCACGGCCUGAGCUAGUGCGUCACCGCCGGCCAGGGGAAGCCGGAAGUGACACUAUACCGUUUUUUGUAGAAAACGACGGGCAGAGAGGAUAGAAGGGAGAAAGGAAAUCAAAUAAGGUCCCCAAUACCGAAAAAGCUAAAGCCCUGGAUCCCAGGUGCCGCAGAAAGCGCUGGGCGGAAGCGGUCCUGGCAGAGGCAAUCUAACACCGCCCGGGCGCUCGUCCGCGGCGGAAGUGCGUUUCUGGCGUUCCUCCGAGAUGGCGUGGGCAGGAAAGCAGCGGCGCUUCUUCGCCGACUCUUUUCGCUCCUCGGUCCUCGCAGUACUAGAGGCCGUAGGCCGGCUGGGCCCUCGGGACUUCUAGCCCCGGAGAGAAAGAACCGCUUACCGGGAGACCCCAGGGUGAGGCGCCGACAGACACGGCGCGCCGGCCCCUCCCUCGCCGGGAGGGCGGCGCCCCGUGACGCAGCAAGCUGUCGCGACACGAACGCCGGUCCGGACUCGCUUGGGCCAGCGGCCAAGCCACGAGUGUGCAUCUACUGGCAGCCACCCACAACUCGCUCUUCCAGACGCGAGGCAAAUGUCUGGACGGCUUGGUAGAAUUCACGAGAGCAAAAAAACCCACCCCACCGAGAGCGCGAGAGAGGUCUCAAGAGUUCUCAAGUGUAAAGUGGGUGGUGGGCCCUUAAGAGGAUCUUAGG